UUUACGCGUCGUUGUCCUCCAUAAGAUUUCUUUUAUUUUGUUGUUGUUGUUUUUGUUGUUAUUUUUGAGUGCGAUGCGAUGCAUAAUGUACGUAGGAUGAAAAUUGAUGCAAACAAAAAUAAAGCUAAAACACCCUGUGCGUCAUCAUACUGCACUCGCCACACAUUACCCGUACACAUGUACACAUUUAAAUAAAUUUGACGGCCAACAAAACCUGAUAAGGCCCGUUUCCUAAGCCGAUCUAAAACAAAAAAAAAAAACAAAUCCCACCAAUUCUCUGCUCCGACCACUGACCGGCCAUCUCCGACGACGAGCGAAGUCGACUUUGUGUGUUGUUCACAGUCUUCGGUGUAAAAGAACCAUCGCGUUGACAUAAAAGAGAGGACGAAUUGGUAGUUCGUUCAAUCUGGUCCACGGAAGAUGCACAAAAGGCAAGAAGCACCUCUUGACUCGAACUCUCUUCCCGCUUACAAAAAGAAGAAGAAGAAUCAGAAGCAGAGGAUGAAAGAAUCAAGAAGUAUAAAAAUGUGGAAGUUCAAUCCCGUCCAACUGGAUACGGCCAUCGUCACAUGGUGGUUCGACUUGUUCUGAAUAUGGCUCUUUUUCUCUCUUACAAACCUGAUUCCCGGCUUACAACAGGCUCCGCGACAAGAGAUCGAGAAAUUCCCUUCAUACAGCACUGCUUACACCACCACCGCACCAUACCGCCAUCUGCAUCUGCAUCUCCGUUGUCGUUGGUCGUCCGCCACUAACUGGUGCUGGUGCAAUACCUUAUAGCACCUACGCAGCAGCAACAGUAACAGCAGCAGCUUCUCUGUUGUCUGUGGUUUUUCUUGCUCGCGCAUUUGCACUCCCAAUUCCAACUCCCAACUCCAGUCUCCCGGUUGCAUAGUCCCAGAAACUGGAAACCUGUCAGUGUGGCAUUUGUUGUUGCGUCGUCGCGUCACAAGCUCCGCGCUCGUUUCAUUGAUGUCUUCGUCGUCGUCGUCGUAGUCAUCUUGCAGGAGACUUAUCCCGGCCCAGCUCCAACGAAGUGUGCACAAUUUACACACCCAACCGAGUAAUCGUACGACAAAACCAGAAUCUGGUCACAAAGGCUCUCCCCCUUCCCAUCAUCGCAGCAGAGUCUCACUGCAUGAUGGAGCUUGGAGUUGGAGUUGAAGCUGGUGUGGUGCUGGUGCUAGUGCUGGUGAUGGUAAGCAGCCUCAAAGCAGGAAGGCGAGCGAGGCUCUUGUGCGAUGUUUACUGCUGAUUCUGCUGCUGUUGCUCUUACUGUGUUGCUGCAAUCGAUGCCGUUGCGUGUAUCGAUAGUGAUAUCGAUAAUAAUCGAGGCAGAUUGGAUUUCAAGGAAGACACUGCUACUCGGUGGAAGAAGGGCGUGCGUGAAUUUAGCUUGAAUUUCGAAUCGACAGAGUAUAAUCCUCUUAAAGAGGUCUGCCUUGACAAAAUGUCUAUAAGCACUGAUGGCGAUCAUAUGCCUUCAGGUAAUUUCAGCAAGUCAGCGGGAUGGGGGUUAUAUUUUGACAGAAUAUGUCCGAAUGAAAUUACUCUUGAAAAAUAAAAAAGAAGAUGUGCGAUGACAAGAAA